rfam:Oryza barthii chromosome 9, whole genome shotgun sequence.
AAUAAGUGCAGUUUUAGCACUGUUUAUGUCUAAUGUUUGAUCGUUCGUCUUAUUUAAAAAAAAAAUUAUAAUUAGUAUUUUUAUUGUUAUUACAUGAUAAAACAUGAGUAGUACUUUAUGUGUGACUAUUUUUUAAUUUUUUCAUAAAUUUUUUAAAUAAGACGGGCGGUCAAAACACUAAACAUGGAUAUCUAUGGCUACACUUAUU